AGAGUUUGAUCAUGGCUCAGGAUGAACGCUGGCGGCGUGCCUAACACAUGCAAGUCGAGCGAUUUACUUCGGUAAAGAGCGGCGGACGGGUGAGUAACGCGUGGGUAACCUGCCCUAUACACACGGAUAACAUACCGAAAGGUAUGCUAAUACGAGAUAAUAUAAGAGAUUCACAUGGAUUUCUUAUCAAAGCUGAGGCGGUAUAGGAUGGACCCGCGUCUGAUUAGCUAGUUGGUAAGGUAACGGCUUACCAAGGCGACGAUCAGUAGCCGACCUGAGAGGGUGAUCGGCCACAUUGGAACUGAGACACGGUCCAAACUCCUACGGGAGGCAGCAGUGGGGAAUAUUGCACAAUGGGCGAAAGCCUGAUGCAGCAACGCCGCGUGAGUGAUGAAGGCCUUCGGGUCGUAAAACUCUGUCCUCAAGGAAGAUAAUGACGGUACUUGAGGAGGAAGCCCCGGCUAACUACGUGCCAGCAGCCGCGGUAAUACGUAGGGGGCUAGCGUUAUCCGGAUUUACUGGGCGUAAAGGGUGCGUAGGUGGUCUCUUAAGUCAGGAGUGAAAGGCUACGGCUUAACUGUAGUAAGCUCUUGAAACUGGGAGACUUGAGUGCAGGAGAGGAAAGUGGAAUUCCUAGUGUAGCGGUGAAAUGCGUAGAUAUUAGGAGGAACACCAGUAGCGAAGGCGGCUUUCUGGACUGUAACUGACACUGAGGCACGAAAGCGUGGGGAGCAAACAGGAUUAGAUACCCUGGUAGUCCACGCUGUAAACGAUGAGUACUAGGUGUCGGGGGUUACCCCCCCUCGGUGCCGCAGCUAACGCAUUAAGUACUCCGCCUGGGGAGUACGCUCGCAAGAGUGAAACUCAAAGGAAUUGACGG
rnacentral:rRNA from 1 species